rnacentral:rRNA from 1 species
GAUGAACGCUGGCGGCGCGCCUAACACAUGCAAGUCGAACGGCACCCCCCCUCGGAGGGACGCGAGUGGCGAACGGCUGAGUAACACGUGGAGAACCUGCCCCCUCCCCCGGGAUAGCCGCCCGAAAGGACGGGUAAUACCGGAUACCCCGGGGUGCCGCAUGGCACCCCGGCUAAAGCCCCGACGGGAGGGGAUGGCUCCGCGGCCCAUCAGGUAGACGGCGGGGUGACGGCCCACCGUGCCGACAACGGGUAGCCGGGUUGAGAGACCGACCGGCCAGAUUGGGACUGAGACACGGCCCAGACUCCUACGGGAGGCAGCAGUGGGGAAGCUUGCGCAAUGGGGGGAACCCUGACGCAGCGACGCCGCGUGCGGGACGGAGGCCUUCGGGUCGGAAACCGCUUUCAGCAGGGAAGAGUCAAGACUGUACCUGCAGAAGAAGCCCCGGCUAACUACGUG